CUAAAAUUUGCAAAUGUAAAACGACGUGGAGAACAUUACCACAUGGGAGAAAAUCACCACUUGGAGAACAUCACUAUCCGAACAACCACGAUUUCACAUCCUAAUCCAUCCAAAUCCAGACAAUUUUGACAAAAACGAGGAAGCGCAGAAGAUCUGUUUUAAUCAUGGAAUUGAAACUCAAGUUGUAACAUCGAAGACGAUGCCAAUCCUAGACUAUGUUUGUAUCGGUGCUAUAUUUGGAAGGCGGACGACUGCAAGUUCUUCCGCUGGAUUGAUCCAUCUUUGUCACCGAAUCAAGAGAACUAUAUGCAAAAAUUGAAGAUGGAGAUGGAAAGCAUGCAAAAAGCAUUGCAAGCGAGAGUUGCAAUGCAUGAUAUGCCAACAGAGAAAGUCCGUUCCAAAGAAGUAGAAUUGGAAUCACUCCAAAUAGUGGCUGAAAAUUUGCGUCGAUAGAACCGGAACUUGAAGUAUGCCUUUUUGUGUUUAUGUGUUGUGGUCUGGCUUCUUAUCUAGACUAUAAUAGUCUAGAUUAUGCAAUAGUCUAAUGUAUUUCAGCUAUGUCUAGGAUUUUACAUUGAAGUUCUAAUAUAUCCUCAAAUUUAUCUUCGUUGUAGACUUUAUGAAAUUUUCAAUGCAGAUGCAAUUUUACCUUAA